UGGCAGGUUGUUACUUAAUAACA
rnacentral:siRNA from 1 species